UUUGAUCCUGGCUCAGGAUGAACGCUAGCGGCAGGCUUAACACAUGCAAGUCGAGGGGCAGCGAAUCUAGCUUGCUAGAUGUCGGCGACCGGCGAACGGGUGCGUAACGCGUAUAGAAUCUGCCUUGUACAGGAGGAUAGCCUUUAGAAAUGAAGAUUAAUACUCCAUAAUGUUUAGAGAUGGCAUCAUUUUUAAAUUAAAGAUCUAUUGGUACAAGAUGACUAUGCGUCCUAUUAGCUAGAUGGUAAGGUAACGGCUUACCAUGGCAACGAUAGGUAGGGGGUCUGAGAGGAUUAUCCCCCACACUGGUACUGAGACACGGACCAGACUCUACGGGAGGCAGCAGUGAGGAAUAUUGGUCAAUGGAGGCAACUCUGAACCAGCCAUGCCGCGUGCAGGAAGACUGCCCUAUGGGUUGUAAACUGCUUUUAUACAGGAAGAAACAGAACUACGUGUAGUUCCUUGACGGUACUGUAAGAAUAAGCACCGGCUAACUCCGUGCCAGCAGCCGCGGUAAUACGGAGGGUGCAAGCGUUAUCCGGAAUCAUUGGGUUUAAAGGGUCCGCAGGCGGUCAAUUAAGUCAGAGGUGAAAUCCCAUAGCUUAACUAUGGAACUGCCUUUGAUACUGGUUGACUUGAGUUAUACGGMAGUAGAUAGAAUAAGUAGUGUAGCGGUGAAAUGCAUAGAUAUUACUUAGAMUACCGAUU
rnacentral:rRNA from 1 species